GACGAACGCUGGCGGCGUGCUUAACACAUGCAAGUCGAACGGAAAGGCCCUGCUUUUGUGGGGUGCUCGAGUGGCGAACGGGUGAGUAACACGUGAGUAACCUGCCCUUGACUUUGGGAUAACUUCAGGAAACUAGGGCUAAUACCGGAUAGGAGCUCCUGCUGCAUGGUGGGGGUUGGAAAGUUUCGGCGGUUGGGGAUGGACUCGCGGCUUAUCAGCUUGUUGGUGGGGUAGUGGCUUACCAAGGCUUUGACGGGUAGCCGGCCUGAGAGGGUGACCGGCCACAUUGGGACUGAGAUACGGCCCAGACUCCUACGGGAGGCAGCAGUGGGGAAUAUUGCACAAUGGGCGGAAGCCUGAUGCGGCAACGCCGCGUGCGGGAUGACGGCCUUCGGGUUGUAAACCGCUUUCGCCUGUGACGAAGCGUGAGUGACGGUAAUGGGUAAAGAAGCACCGGCUAACUACGUG
rnacentral:rRNA from 1 species